GCAAAAAUAACUGCCCGAAGGCCGGGGCGCCAAGUUCGUCCAGCGGAAAAAGGCCACAAAAACGGGUGGGCUAUAGCCUUGGGGGGUGGGGCUGGCCAACUUCGUCCGCCCAACUCGGAAUGCCGCGAGACUUUGCGAGGGGCCUCCGUGUGCCACAAAUAGGCCAUGGGCAAAGCCGCGCCCAAAAAUACCCGCGCGAAGGCCGCGGCGCCAAGUUGGUCCAAAGGUAAAAGACCACAAAAAGGGGUGGGCCUUGGGGGGUGGGGCUGGCCAACUUCGUCCGCCGGACUCGGAAUGCCGCGAGACUUUGCGAGGGGCUUCCGUGUGCCAAAAAUAGGCCGUGGGCAAAGCCGUGCCCAGAAAUAACCGUCCGAAGGCCGGGGCGCCAAGUUCGUCCAGCGGAAAAAGUCCACAAAAAGGGGUGGGCUAUCGCCUUGGGGGGUGGGGCUGGCCCAUUUCGUCCGCCGGACUCGGAAUGCCGCGAGACUUUGCGAUGGGCCUCCGUGUCCAAAUAUAGGCCGUGGACAAUGCCGCACCCAAAAAUAACCGCCCGAAGGCCGGGGCGCCAAGUUCGUCCAGCGGAAAAAGGACACAAAAACGGGUGGGCUAUAGCCUUGGGGGGUGGGGCUGGCCCACUUCGUCCGCCGGACUCGGAAUGCCGCGAGAUUUUGCGAGGGCCCUCCGUGUGCCAAAAAUAGGCUGCGGGCAAAGCCGCGCCCAAAAAUAACCGCCCGAAGGCCGGGGCGCCAAGUUCGUGCAGCGGAAAAAGGCCACAAAAACGAGUGGGCUAUAGCCUUGGGGGGUGGGGCCGGCCAACUUCGUCCGCCGGACUAGGAAUGCCGCGUGACUUUGCGAGGGGCCUCCGUCUGCCAAAAAUAGGCCGCGGACAAAGCCGCACCCAAAAAUAACCGCCCGAAGGCCGGGGCGCCAAGUUCGUCC
rnacentral:lncRNA from 1 species